UCUUUAGCAAGAAUAGUAAGAAAAGAUGAACAGAGAACAAAAAGAAAAGUUGAGGAAAAAUUUUAGAGCUACCACAAAAGAAGAAGACUUGAAAACCCUCUACAUUAUACUGAAGAACAAUAACUAAUUGUAUUUUUAAUUCAUAGUCUUCAUUAUGGCUAGCACCAGUCUAGUAAUUUUGAGACAUUCUUGAAAACCUAGCAUUAA
rnacentral:lncRNA from 1 species